UGGCUCAGAUGGUAAAGCGUCUGCCUACAAUGCGGAAGACCCAGGUUCGAUCCCUGG
rnacentral:tRNA from 1 species